rnacentral:rRNA from 1 species
UAACACAUGCAAGUCGAACGGUAACAGGAAGCAGCUUGCUGCUUUGCUGACGAGUGGCGGACGGGUGAGUAAUGUCUGGGAAACUGCCUGAUGGAGGGGGAUAACUACUGGAAACGGUAGCUAAUACCGCAUAACGUCGCAAGACCAAAGAGGGGGACCUUCGGGCCUCUUGCCAUCGGAUGUGCCCAGAUGGGAUUAGCUAGUAGGUGGGGUAAAGGCUCACCUAGGCGACGAUCCCUAGCUGGUUUGAGAGGAUGACCAGCCACACUGGAACUGAGACACGGUCCAGACUCCUACGGGAGGCAGCAGUGGGGAAUAUUGCAC